CUCUCCCGCCACUCCCGGUGCGGAUUCAGGUUCUGCUCCUCUCCAGGACCAGAGCCAUGUCCAGGUUCAUCAAAGCCAUCACUGACAUGAUGCAGAGCUCCCAGGGCAACGCCAGGAAGGGCAGGAAAUCAGAGACCUUCAGCAGGAGCGAGUUCAAGAAGCUGAUCCAGCAGGAAUUCGUUCCUGUCAAGAGGUCCCCGAGCAGCAAGUACAGAGCCAUCCCACGGCCCUCGGAGCACGACAUGGAGCCCAUGAACAAGGAGAGGGGUCCCACCAAACCCUGCAUCUACUGAGGGCUCUCUGCUGCUCCUGGCACGUGGACGGAGCAGGAUUGCUCCGAUGCUGGGAUCUCCUUCCAGGCUUGUCCUGCUCCUCCUUCCAAGCCAGGAACAUCCUGGGACGAGUGAGGACCAAGCCCAGCUCCACCAAUUUACCUCCAUGAGGCAAAAAUAUCCCCAGGUCUCCUUUUGGUCCCCAUACUCCAGUGGUGUCUCCUCGGGGUGCUUUAAAAAUGCAGCUUUGAAGGCUUGGAGGGGGUGGUUUGGGCAGAUUUUCUCUUUUUUUUCCUCAUAAAAAGCAAAAAAUCUCAACCCUGCUGAAAUCUCAGCCCCUUCACCCCAGUUAUUAACAGGGAAAAAAUGAAAAAAGUCCCUGCUAAUUAUUUGAUUAUUUGAUAUCAGCCUGUACAGAAAUAACGAACCCAGAGUGGCAAUUCCUGGGGAAAAAUGAAAAGUUCAUUUUUGUUGGGAGCUCAUCUCCAGCUCAUUUGGAGUCAACAGCAGAAUUCCCAUGUGCUUUUGGGGGAUAGACACACCAAAAAUGCACCUCAGGGAGGUGGAUUUUCAGAGAGAUUUUUCUGCACUGUAAAUAUCCCAAAGGCGUUUUUUCCCUGCUUACUGUCCCCUUUCUCACAUAAACGGUUGUACCACCACAAAAACCCAAUAAAAACCAUCCAACCUG